AACACUCCCAGUUACACUUGAUGAUACACUGAUUCAUCACAUGGAUUACACAACAGCUAACAGCAUCAGAGAACAUCAUCUAUGAAACACCCACCUGGAACCUUUUAGAUCUCUGUAACUACACUGACAGUUAGAUUAUACCUCUUUCAGUGUCUGACUUCUACAACAUGGACAUCAUCAAACAUGGUUUCCUAAGCUUGUUGACACUUCUGCUCUGGAUAAAAGGUCUAGUUGAUGGGAGUGUUGUCACUCAGACCUCACUAAUAUGGAAAUUCAAGGGUGAAAAUGCAACAAUAGACUGCAACCACAUCAAGGAUUUUAGCUACAACCAGAUGUACUGGUACAGACAGCUGCCAGGAGAAACAAUGAAACUAAUAGUUUUUACAACAACUACAAAAAAAGAUCAUGACUUUGAACCAGACUUCAAAAAUGGGAGAUUCUCAGCCACUAAGCCUGACUUUGCUAAUGGGACAUUCACAGUGAAGAAUCUGGAACCAAAAGAUAAAGGCUUGUAUUUCUGUGCUGUCAGUAAGCACAGUGAUACAGAUGCACUUGACAGCUGAACAAAAACCUCAGUGCACUGUUGGAACAACUGCUACCAACUCAAUUUAUCUCCUGUACUGUACAUCUCCCUUUCCUGUACUGUAGGGGGACCUCAAGCACCACAAACACUCCCAGUUACACUUUGA